CUCUCUCUCUCUCUCAGCGUCGUUGGCAGUGCCUCUCUAGGCCUGUUCUGUCUACGGCGGUUUCUCUCCAGCGUUCUCUGUCGAUCGAAACGAAAAGGAAGAGGAAAAUCUGAGAUGUUCCUUCAUUUCUGUCAUCCACUUACUCACUCUAUAUCUCUGUGUGCAAGAUUUUUAAAAAGUGGGCUUUCUGAGCACGAUGGAUCUCAUGGAAAAGGAAUCAUUGUGUGUGGGUAUGAUGAGUGAGAACAAGCUAGUGCUGCUCUGAUUGUAAGACCAGAAAGACCCCCUUGUGGAGAGGUGGGCCAGCUGGACCCAAGCUUUUUGCGUAAUGGGAGAUGCUGAAAUGCUGCUGGUUCAUCUUAGGCAGAACAUAAAAGCUGUAUGCUAAUCACAGUGAAUUGUUGAGCAAGUAAAUUUGGUUUUUUUGUAUGAGACCAUAAAUGUACUCCCUUAUUAAUGUAUUUUGAAUUUCGCUAAAAUUGUAGCUAUUUUCGUGCAACAUUACACAAUUUCUAUUGCAUUGACAAAGUUUUAA